CAGCAGCCGCGGGAAUACGAAGGGUGCAAGCGUUAAUCGGAAUUACUGGGCGUAAAGCGUGCGUAGGCGGUGAGUUAAGUCUGCUGUGAAAUCCCCGGGCUCAACCUGGGAAUGGCAGUGGAUACUGGCUCGCUAGAGUGUGUCAGAGGAUGGUGGAAUUCCCGGUGUAGCGGUGAAAUGCGUAGAUAUCAAGAGGAACACCGGUGGCGAAGGCGGCUUCCUGGAAGAUUCCUGACUCUGAAACACGAAAGCUAGGGGAGCGAAUGGGAUUAGAUACCCCCGUAGUCCCUGUCUCUUAUAC
rnacentral:rRNA from 1 species